rnacentral:rRNA from 1 species
CACGUAGGGGCCAAGCGUUGUCCGGAUUUAUUGGGCGUAAAGAGCUCGUAGGCGGUUCAGCAAGUCGGGUGUGAAAACUCUGGGCUCAACCCAGAGACGCCACCCGAUACUGCUGUGACUAGAGUCCGGUAGGGGAGUGGGGAAUUCCUGGUGUAGCGGUGAAAUGCACAGAUAUCAGGAGGAACACCGGUGGCGAAGGCGCCACUCUGGGCCGGCACUGACGCUGAGGAGCGAAAGCGUGGGGAGCAAACGGG